rnacentral:rRNA from 1 species
GAUGAACGCUAGCGACAGGCUUAACACACGCAAGUCGAGGGGCAGCGAGGGAGUGGCAACACUUCUGUCGGCGACCGGCGCACGGGUGAGUAACGCGUAUGCAACCUGCCCUUCACAGGGGGAUAACCGGGAGAAAUUCCGACUAAUACCGCAUACGUCCUCCGGGGCAUCCCUGGGGGAUGAAAGAGUUAUCGGUGAAGGAUGGGCAUGCGUGAUAUUAGGUAGUUGGCGGGGCAACGGCCCACCAAGCCCACGAUAUCUAGGGGUUCUGAGAGGAAGGUCCCCCACAUUGGUACUGAGACACGGACCAAACUCCUACGGGAGGCAGCAGUGAGGAAUAUUGGUCAAUGGACGAGAGUCUGAACCAGCCAAGUCGCGUGAAGGAAGACGGAUCUAUGGGUUUGUAAACCUCUUUUUGUCGGGGAGUAACGUGCGGGACGGGUCCCGUAUUGAGAGUACCCGAAGAAAAGCAUCGGCUAACUCCGUG